AGGUUCAUGAGUGUUUUAGAGAUAUAUGGUGAUUAUGGGGGCAUUUUGGAGAAAAAUCUAGAAGAAACUCGUAGCUACCCAUCGAACCAGUCUAGAGUCGACAUUUAGAGUCAACCGUCGAUCGACGGACAACUCUUGUCAUCAAUCGACAGCGAAGCGCGCAAAGUCCGACUUGGUUCCCAGCCGACUUAUGGACCAAGUUCCACAUCAUUUACAAGAUUACCCCUGGCCGACUUUAACCUAAUAUUUAUGUGCUCUGCCA
rnacentral:lncRNA from 1 species